GUUUUAAUAAUUUAAUAAAAAUAUUAGUUUUGUAAACUAGAAAUAGGAUAAACCUUUAAAACU
rnacentral:tRNA from 1 species